rnacentral:rRNA from 1 species
GAUGAACGCUGGCGGCGUGCCUAAUACAUGCAAGUCGAGCGAAUGGAUUAAGAGCUUGCUCUUAUGAAGUUAGCGGCGGACGGGUGAGUAACACGUGGGUAACCUGCCCAUAAGACUGGGAUAACUCCGGGAAACCGGGGCUAAUACCGGAUAACAUUUUGAACCGCAUGGUUCGAAAUUGAAAUGCGGCUUCGGCUGUCAUUUAUGGAUGGACCCGCGUCGCAUUAGCUAGUUGGUGAGGUAACGGGUCACCAAGGCAACGAUGCGUAGCCGAUCGAGGCUGGGGGGAGGCCACACUGGGACUGAGACACGGCCCAGACUCCGACGGGAGGCAGCAGUAGGGAAUCUUCCGCAAUGGACGAAAGUCUGACGGAGCAACGCCGCGUGAGUGGUGAAGGCUUUCGGGUCGUAAAACUCUGUUGUUAGGGAAGAACAAGUGCUAGUUGAAUAAGCUGGCACCUUGACGGUACCUAACCAGAAAGCCACGGCUAACUACGUGCCAGCCGCCGCGGUAA